rnacentral:snoRNA from 1 species
UGGAACCAAAUGAUGAUUAAAACCUUAGCUUGAACUCUCUCACUGAACAGAGAUGAAAAUCUAAGGUCUGAGCUGUUCCA